UACGUGGCGACCGGCGCACGGGUGAGUAACGCGUAUGCAACUUACCUAUCAGAGGGGGAUAGCCCGGCGAAAGUCGGAUUAAUACCCCAUAAAACAGGGGUCCCGCAUGGGAAUAUUUGUUAAAGAUUCAUCGCUGAUAGAUAGGCAUGCGUUUCAUUAGGCAGUUGGCGGGGUAACGGCCCACCAAACCGACGAUGGAUAGGGGUUCUGAGAGGAAGGUCCCCCACAUUGGUACUGAGACACGGACCAA
rnacentral:rRNA from 1 species